UACGUAGGGUGCGAGCGUUAAUCGGAAUUACUGGGCGUAAAGCGUGCGCAGGCGGUUUGUUAAGACAGAUGUGAAAAUCCCCGGGCUUAACCUGGGAACUGCAUUUGUGACUGGCAAGCUAGAGUAUGGCAGAGGGGGGUAGAAUUCCACGUGUAGCAGUGAAAUGCGUAGAGAUGUGGAGGGAUACCGAUGGCGAAGGCAGCCCCCUGGGCCAAUACUGACGCUCAUGCACGAAAGGCGUGGGGAGCAAACGAGGAUAGAGUACCCUUG
rnacentral:rRNA from 1 species